UUCACUUUAAAGUUCGGUAAAAAAAUAUACAUAGCCAAUUACUUCUACUGGUUUGUAUAUUAUCAACAAACACAUUAUUUAAUUUACCAAUAUGAAAUAUUUGUCAUAAUGGUAUAGAUUCAGAUUCUUUAAAAUCAAUAUUUUUACCAGGAAUAGUAAUAGUGCUUUAUGUUUAUGUUUAAGGAUCAUUCCGUUAGUAAGAAAAAUUUAGAUCGUCACGGUUAGUGCUAUAGAAGACAAUACUCAUUGGGUCGAUACCGCUGCUGAUGCAUAACUAUCAGUCCCCGAAGGGUAUUAACAGCUCAGUAUUCAGUACUUCGGAACUGACAUGAUUUUAGAAUGCAAACUAAUAGAAACAACGAGGGGUCAACCAACGUUAUAAUACAACCAACAGGAAAUGUAGCACCUCAACAAAUAUUUUAUGUGAAGAGAUUUAAAAUAUUGGGUGGUGUGCAGAUUGGGAUUGGCGGAAUAUUAGUGAUCAUGAGUUUAGUUCAAUUGAUAAUGAGUUUGAUUUCUUUCUUGAUUGCCUAUAACUUACCGAUACUCAUAUGCUCUGGAUGGUUUGUUAUGACUGGAUGCCUACCACUGAACAUGUCAAAGAAUACAGAAUCAAGCUUGAAAUGCCAGAAAAUAUCUUUUAUGGUGUGCAGUGUUAUUGGGGCAGCGGUUUUUGUCCCGAUUAUGUUUAGUUUAACAUUUAUUGUUGGAAUAUUUCAUUUAAUUGACGAGUACCAAAACAACGGGUAUAUUUUAUCCUAUAGCAUAGCCGCACUAUCCGUUGUUGAAGCAAUAGUUGCUGUCAUUUCAGCUUCUUACUGUUGCUGUUGUUCGCCUUGGGAAACAUCAAGUCAGCAGAUGGCUGUUUUUAUGAGUCCCUCACCGGCUGGAAUGAAUUUUCAUGGAAAUCAAAUUCAGGAUACAAAUAUCCGGCCAUGGAUUGAUACGACCGGCAAAUACAGUACUGCACUCUAGAGCUCAACAGUACAACUUUGUUGUACACAUUAUAAAUGUUUCCUACACUUAUCUACCACAAUACAAGAAAUGACAUAUAUGAACUCAACUUCCCUCCCAAUGUAUUUGAUGCACUUCUUUUUGUAUAUCCAGGCAUAUGAAAUUUGAUCACAAAAUUGCAUAUAUUAACUACCAUAUCAUCAUCCCAGAAGCUAAAUAAAAGUGCAACGUAGAACCCUUCUGUUACACCUACGAUUCCUAGUUUUGUAUUUAAGAGGUUCGUGUUGCUCUUGCCUUAGUUGUAAGUUUGGUUUUUUUUUUUAGUUUAUAGCGGUAGCAAUCUUGUUAAUCCCUAAUUCGUCAUGAAAAAAUAUUUCAUUUUCAGGGUUUGAAAAUGUUACAUGACCAAUAGUCUCGAAUUUGUUGAUGAUUUAGGGUUAGAAAAAAAGUCAAUUGUUAAUGCGCUCUUGCGUGUUGUCUAAUCACUUGAUAUAACUUAUUAACUUAUUUUAUAGGAGUAAUACGAGGGGUGUCACAUGUGGGGUGGGAUCUACUUACCCUUCCGCAGCACCUUGGAUUAUCCCCCUUUUUUUGUUCAGUCUUUAGUUACGUAUACUUUUUCAUAUUUGUCUUUUGGUCAUUUUCUUCUCUUUUUUUUUGCCAUGGCGUUGUCAAUUUGUUUUUGACUUUGACUUUGAAUGUCCCUUUGGUACCUUUCGUCCCUCUUGUAGAAGCUAAACCGUAAAACACGAAACAAGAUGAAUAUAACCAUAUCUAAGGGCUAAAUUAGGUCAAUCAUCGUCAUUUAUUAUGUAAAAAUAUGUAAGUAACACAAUGUAUUUUAUUACAUUUUUUGACUUGCUGUUAGAUAAAGAAAAAAAUGUGUUUGGAAGAAACGUUAACAAAUUAUAAUUGUAAAUGUAUGAUGCUUCUUUCGUCGUCAUUAGGCAUCGUGUAAGCCUUAUUAUAUGGAGUGAGUAUAAUAGUUCAUCAAAUAAUAUCUUUCAGCAUCUAUCAUGGAAAAGACUGGGAAUGAAAGUGCUGUUCUUUUGAUAAAAUUACAGUUUGUUCGCAUUUCAUGGCAUAUUUUUAUAACAGGCGCAUCCUUUUCAUAUCCUUUCUUUCUUUUUCAUGAAAACAAGUAUCCCAGAUACAGUGAGGCCCGUUUCAUACUUGAAUGGAAAUCCGAAAGAGAGAUCUUUAGUUUACGCAAAAGGCACUUUUUCAACCAAAAUUGACUUUUAUUUUCAUUUGAACCUUGCUUAAAAUCGACUGGACUACCACUUAUAGUGAAAACGCUUAAACAGCUAUACUGAUGAAUUAUAAUACGGUCAUAAUAUGUAUAUAAUUUGUGGCUUGUUAUGCAUUAUUUAAAUUAUAUUAUUUUAUGUGUUUCACUAAUAAAGUAACUUGAAUUAUGCAAAUAAAUGUAUUGUUUAAUUGAA